GAAAGAACAGUCAAUAAACCGAGCUGGUAUUGUUCAAGAGGAUAUUCAGCCUGCAGGGUUAAAAGUGUGGUCUGAUCCAUUUGGAAGAAAGUAAUGUUGCCGGCUGGGUGUAUUGCAAGGCAAAACUGAAGAUGGACAUCUUCAGCUGUUUCUUCUUUCACUGAAGUGUGUCUUUGGGUGUCGCUGGAGAAGAAUUCUGAAUAUGCUGUGUGGGCACGUGAGGAGCAACAAACGCUACUGGUUGGAAUCCCAAGAGAUAAAAACAUGCUAGUUUUGACAGAGGAUGCUGGGGCAUAGUGCGCAGACUGUUAGAGAGCUGAAUGAUUCUUGAGUUCAGAAGUGAAAUAUUUAUUUCCUUGAGAAAAGGGAAGAGGAAUUAUUUUGUGGUUAAUCUGUAAACACUUGUAGAAUAAAUUAUGAAUAGAAUAAUUCAUGCAGACCGCUGCAGUUUCCUCCCUAGUUUGAGAAUUACUUUUUGUGGUUUUAUUAUGAAAACAUGAUAGAAGUAUAUACCAAGAGAGAUCAGUGCAGAAAAUAUAACAUGGUAAGUGUAAAUUUGUAUAUUAAAAUUUCUUCCUUUUAAA